GCUACAGACUACAUCACGGCUUUGCUGUCAACCAGAGUGUAAACAGCCUCUUCUAGUAUAAAGGAGGCAAAACUUUGCUCAAGAUUCAAGUAACAGGUGCAUUUUAACCCCAUGCCCUGGAGUUAAAGCAGAACAAAAGAAAGGAGGAAAAAGAAAGAAGAAAGUUGAAGGGAAAAAGGAAGCAGAAACCACACGUGAGGAGAAACUAACAAAAAAACCUGCUUUGGUAAUAUCAAGAACCAGAACAGAUCAGCUUCCCCAGGGAUUACAAAGGAGCUACCAUAGAAGAUUCCAACUAUAACGAAAUUUUGGAAAUGACAGAAAUGGAAUUUAAAUUUUGGGUGGCAAAUACAAUGAAAGGAAUGGAAGGGAAAGUAAAAAAACAGCAGAAAAGUUUAAAAAUGAUCACAGGGAAUAAACAAAAUCAUAGAUAAAGUCACCAAGAAUCUGGAAAUUAGAAAGAAUACAAUGGAGCUUAAAGAAUUGAAAAACUUCCAGAAUAUAGUAGAAAGUUUCAAUAAUAGAUUAAACCAUGGAGAAGAAAGAAUCAUAGAGCUUAAAGACAAGGCUCUCAAGCUAACCCAGUCAUUUAAAAAAGCAGAGACGAGUAAAAGCAGAGCAGUCUCUCAUAGGACUAUGCAGUGUACAAACAUAAGAAUUAUAGGUAUUACAAGAGAAGAAGAGAGUCCCAAAAGCAUGAAAGCUCUAGUUGGUGAUAUUAUAGUUGAAAAAUUCCUAAGCAUCACACAAGAUUCAUACAUACACUUAUUAGAUAGAUAUUGAAGCCCAGGGUGACUCAAUCCAAACAGAGGAUCUUCUAGACACAUUGUAAUUAGCCUGGCCAAAGUCAAAAUGAAAGAGAAAAUUCUGCAAGCAGCCAAGCAUGAGCAGCAUCUGACUGUAAGGAUAAACCAAUUACGUUAACACCUAGCUGAUUUCUCAGCAGAUACUUUACAAGCCAGAAGGGAGUGGGCAUCUAUCUUUAAUCUUCUCAUACAAAAUAACUGCCAGCGUAGGAUUCUGUAUCCUGUAAAUCUAAGUUUCAUAUUUGAUGGAGAAAUCAAGUCUUUUACUGACAAGUAUACAUUGAGUCAAUUUGCUACUAUAAGACUAAUUAUUCAGGAAGUACUCAGAUCUUUUUUAUACACAGACUAAUACACGGAUCCCCAGCAAAGAAAAGAUACCUGGAAACUACAAGACAAAGCCUAGCUACCACUAUGGCCCAAGUGAUAAAAUAAGGCAACAGAAUUGCACACAGUGAGACAAACAAAUCCACUCUACGCAUCAGUUCUCUCAAUAAAUGUGAACAAAGAGAAUUCUCCACUCUAGAGACAACAACUGGCUGAGUAGAUUAUAAAAAUAUAAAUCAAGUAUAUGCUGUUUUCAGGAAACACAUCUACUGCCCUCCCAUCCCCAGGCAAAUUAAUACUUAGAGUAAAGGGAUGGAAAACAAUAUUUCGUGUAAAUGGAAACCAAAAGAAAGUGGGAUUUGUUUUCAUAUUGUAGAUACUAUUGACUUUAAAGGAAGAAAAUUAAAGAAAGACAAAGAUAGGCACUGUAUAUUGGGGGUCAAGUGAGCAAUUCAACAAGAAGACAUAUCAGUCAUAAAUAUGUAUGUACCCAACUUAAAUGCACUCAUGUUUUAUAAAGCAAACUCUACUUGGUCUGAACAGUAUGAUAAACAACACCACCAUAAUCAUACCUAGGGACUUCAACCCACUGACAGAACUGUACAGAUCCUCCAAGCAGAAAUCAAACAAACAUUAGACUUAAACAUUACUCUAGAAAAAAAUGGGCUUAACAGACAUAUACAGAACAUUUCACUCCAAUAUUACUGAAUAUAUGUUCCUCUAAUCAGCUCAUGGAUCAUUGUCCAAGAUCAAUCGUAUCUAUAUCACAAAUCACCCUCAACAAAUUUUAAAAAGUGGAAUAUACCUUGUAUCUUUACAGACCACAGUGGAAUAAAAGUAGAACUCAAUUCCAACAGAAACACUCAUCCCCACACAAAGUCAUGGAAACUAAACAACCUAUUGCUAAGUGAUACCUGGGUCAAGGAGAGGAUAGAGAUUGAAAUCCAUAAAUUGCUUGAACAAAAUGACAGUGAGGCCGUUAGCUACUACAACCUGUAGGACAGUCCUCGCGCUACACAGGCGUGAGUUCUCCUUAUUAGUUGGUGCUGCUUGUGGGUUGAUGGCUGUAUGGCGGUGGCAGUCACAGAUAGUCUCUGGCAUCACGAGUGGCUUCAGCAGUGAGAAGCACGCCACACCCUUCACCCUUGAGUACCAAGUCUUCCUCAAAAAUGAAAAAGGACAAUAUACAUAUCUCUAUUUCAUGAUAUUCCAAUUUCUGCAGAUAAGGAUAUGUUCCACAUGGUAGUUGAAGUACUAUGCUGGUCUAAUGAGAAAAUGGAGAUUGCUACAAAGGACCCUUUAAGUGCAAUUAAACAGGAUGUGAAAAAAGCAAAACUUUGUUAUGUUGUGAAUUUGUUCCCUUAUAAAGGAUAUAUCUGGAACUAUGUGGCCAUCCCUCAGACUUGGGAAGACCCUGGACAUAAUGAUGAAGAUACUGGCUUUCGUGGCAACAGUGACGUGUUGAAAUUGAUGUGUGUGAAAUUGGAAGUAAGGUAUGCAUAAGAGGUGAAAUAAUCUGGGUAAAAGUUCUGGGCAUAUUGGCUAUGAUUGAUGAAUAGCAUACUGACUGGAAAGUCAUUGCCACUAAUGUGGACAAUCCUGAUGCUGUAAAUUAUGAUAUUUAUGAUGUCAAACAACUAAAACCUGGCUACCUAGAAGCUACUGUGGACUGGUUUAGAAGAUACAACGUUCCUGAUGGAAAACCAGAAAAUGAGUUUGCUUUCAAUGCAGAAUUUAAGAUAAGGACUUUGCAACUGUUAGAAAGCAUUAGUGACUAAGAAAACAGAUGGGAAAGGAAUCAAUUGCAUGAAUACAACAGUGUCUGAAAGCCCCUUCAAGUAUGAUCCUAAUACUGCCAAAGCCAUUGUGGAUGCUCUGCCACCACCAUGUGAAUCUGCCUGCAUACUACCAACAGAUGUGGGUAAGUGCUUCCAUCACCAGAAAAACUAAUGAGAUUUCUCUGGAAUAUCAGCUAAUACUUCUGCAUCCUAUUCAUCUGGAAGUAUUAGAUAUAAAAGUAGUAGCCUCUCCAAGCCUUAAAUAUGUAGAACUCAUCUAACUAAAGCAAAUUCUGCUGUAAACAAUCCAAUAUAUUCACAAUGUUAUCUGUCCAAAGCAUUUUUCAUAUGUCAACUAAGAUAACUUUAGUACAUGCUUAAAUAUAAAAGCAGUUGUAAUUUGGAUGUUAUUUGUGAAUAGAUGCAUAAGAAAAGCACAUAUUGGAUGUAUAUGUUUACUGUGUGUUGGGAAAUAAAAUUAUUUUACUGAAAAAAA